AUUGAACGCUGGCGGCAUGCCUUACACAUGCAAGUCGAACGGCAGCGCGGGGCAACCUGGCGGCGAGUGGCGAACGGGUGAGUAACAUAUCGGAACAUACCCUAGAGUGGGGGAUAACGUAGCGAAAGUUACGCUAAUACCGCAUACGCACUAAGGUGGAAAGUGGGGGAUUCGCAAGAACCUCAUGCUCAUGGAGUGGCCGAUAUCUGAUUAGCUAGUUGGUGAGGUAAAGGCUCACCAAGGCGACGAUCAGUAGCUGGUUUGAGAGAACGACCAGCCACACUGGAACUGAGACACGGUCCAGACUCCUACGGAGGCAGCAGUGGGGAAUUUUGGACAAUGGGGGCAACCCUGAUCCAGCAAUGCCGCGUGAGUGAAGAAGGCCUUC
rnacentral:rRNA from 1 species